rnacentral:rRNA from 1 species
UACGGGGGGGGGCAAGCGUUGUUCGGAAUUACUGGGCGUAAAGGGCUCGUAGGCGGCCAACUAAGUCGGACGUGAAAUCCCUCGGCUUAACCGGGGAACUGCGUCCGAUACUGGAUGGCUUGAGAUUGGGAGAGGGAUGCGGAAUUCCAGGUGUAGCGGUGAAAUGCGUAGAUAUCUGGAGGAACACCAAUUGCGAAGGCAGCACUCUGGGACGUGACUGACGCUGAGACGCGAAAGCGUGGGGAGCAAACAGG